GAGGGUAUAUCUCCUCUCUGGCUCUUUCACUUCUUUUCUGCUACCUGGAUGACAGGAAGUGAGCAACUUUCCAUGCCCUUCCACCAUGAUGUUUCUGCCUUGGAGCCAGCUAACCAUGGACUCAAACCUCUGAAACCAUGAGUCAAAAUAAACCUCUCCUCCUUUAAAUUGUUUUCUCAGGUAUUUGGUCAUAGGGACAAAAAGCUAAUAUAUUAAGCAAGGACCUUCAGGUAGAGAGGUUGUCCAGAAUUAUCGGGGUGGACCCAGUAUCAUCACAUGGGAUUUAGAAGCAAGACCUUUUCCAGCGGUAGACAGAGUGAGAUGCAACUGGAGAAGAGAGGCAGAGAGACUCGGUGUUGCUGACUUUGACGAUGGAGCCAGGAGGCCGUAAUCUGAGGGGCAGGGGCAGCCACUAGAAGCUGAGAAGGCCAGGAAACAGACUCUCCACUAAGGUUUACCAGAAGGGACAGCAGCCUUACCAUCACCUUGGCUGGGGCUCAGCGAGAUCCAAGUCGGACUUCUGACCUGUGGAACUGCAAGGAUUUUGCACACAGAACAGCCCAUAUGUGAUGCUCUAUGUAUAGAACACCAGACGCAGCUGAUUCCAAAAUCAUCCUUAAUGCUUCUCACAUACGUCUUAUGAGGGCAUCGGAUCUGAAAGUGUCCCAAAUGCUUCUGCUGCCGAGCUUUCUAGUACUUGGACAUCGCUGGACAGCAGAGGAGAAUUGGUGAGCUCUGCUCCACUUGGAAGGGUUACCAGUUUUUGGUUGGCAGGAAUGAUGGGUUUGAACAAUGUGGACUGUUGUACCUAGAGUUUACCUGCUCUUUCCCUUCCUAACCCAGCAGAAAUAUAGUAUCUGACUUCCAAACUUAGCCCAAAUUAAUGCCGUGCGUUCCCUUUUCAACAAUACCAGAAAUACGUGUGCUUUUUAAAAACUUCAUCCAUGAAACACACUCCUUUUCUUGUGCCCUUCUAGGUGCCCCAUAAUUUGAUGAUAAAACAUCUGGGCGCUGCCGGAAUGCAAAGUCUUGGCAGCAGGGCACUGUGUGCAUCUUACCUCCUCGGUGACCCCACCACCCAGCACAUCAGAGACACUGCUAAAUAUUUUGAAAUUAACCCAGAUGUUCCCCACGAGGAAGAAGAGAGGAUUCAUGAGAAGGGAGGGUCAGGUCCCCCACGUCCCUAUGAGCCCACAACAAUCCUUCGGCUGAUCGCCCCUGGCAAGGUAUAGAUGAAGAGGACCAGGAAGAUGAUGAGGAUGAUGAGGAUGAAGCCGAUGAUGAUGUACUUCUUGAAAUUCCUCCAGAUGAGAUGGUAUAGGCACUUGAAGGGGUUCAUGAACCAGGAGAAGGAGGUGUCUGGGCGGCUGAGGGGGAAGGCAGAGAACAUCAGGCAGGGGAGCAAUCAUGUUGGCAACACUCAGGAUCCUCCAGCCUAAGGGAAGCAUUUCUGCCUCCCACUUUCUGGGGACCCACAGGGAGACCCCUGGGAAGGGCAGAAGAAGACUGCUGCCUGCAGCAGGAGCAACCUGACAUGAGGCUGGUCUGGAGUAGAGCCUGAGUCGAGUCAGAACCCAGCGAGAGGCCCCACCGCCCUCCUUCCAUCCAGGCAUGACCAGCUCCAGCCCUGCCUUCCUGGAGCCUGUCCUGCCCACCCCAGUCCCUGAGGAGCCCACUCUGAACCCUCAUCUCCCCCGUCCCUUGGUGGUCUUCUUUCUGAGCCUGUUUGUCUUCUACACUCUGAUAUCUACUCUGCAUUAUUUCUCCCUAAAGAAGCUGAAAGCUCCUGGAAAGCAUAGCUUAUGCCUUACAUUUCUUCUGUGUUCUCCAAAAUGUUCUAGUAGGUGCUGCAUGGAUAACUGUGAGCUAGCGAGUAACACAGCACCUGUUAUGUCCCUAAACAUUACAAAAGAUGAAGGUUAGUACAGAGACAAAAUCACUCAUCUUGAGACAGCUGGUGUCUGGGAAAGGAGAGGGCAAAUAUAAUUUCAAAGAAUAUUUCUAUAUAUAUAGUAUUUCAAAUCCUUAUGUAAACACUUUUUAAUUGAUAGGUAACCAAGGAUGAAACUGAAUAAAAUAAUAUUUUUUCCUAGUGAUUCUACUGCUAGGAAUUUAUUUAAAGUAGUGAUUUAUGAAAGAAAAAUAUUUUCAUCAUUUUAUUACAAUGGAAAACAGGCAGAGUAAAUUGGGUAUCUGAUUAUGGGGUGGUGAUACUUGUGGAAUAUUUCCUAGCUAUUAAAAAUCCUAAUUAGGGGAGUGAGGGCAACAAAGCAAGACUUUUCAGUAAGGCUUAAAAAAUUAAGACAAUUUUGUAUGUAUGAUUAGAGAACAAGAAGAAAAAUGUGAAAUUUAUGUUCACAUAAGAAAUGAGUGGAAAAUAUGUGACAUGACUCCAGAAUUCUUGUGUGGUAUGACAGACAAGACCCUCUCCAUUUGCCAAACACUCUAAUAUUUUAGAUUGUUUUUCUUUUAUCAAUCUGCUGGGGUUUUUUAUUAAUCGAGUUUAUUGGUGCUAUUUAGAUAUUCAUAAGGAUCACAUUCAUCAUAUGGAACUUGUACCUGUACGUGAUGUGUCUUGGUUCUUAUUUUUUCUCCACUCCCCUACCCUCCCUUCAACCUUUCUUCUCCUUCUUAUUUACAAAAGCUUUGUUUGCACAAAGAAAGAUAGAUUGUUUUGCAAUUGUAGAAACAGGAAGCUCCACCAGUGGGCUGGCACCUAUUGCCUGACUCCUGGCUUCUCAGGUCUCCCCAGAGAGCUCCGGAGGAUGCUGAACCCUCACUUCCCCUGUCUCCGCCCUCCGCUCCACUCACUUGGGCUUGGCCAAGGGCUCCGGCUCCUUCCGGGCUUUCCCCACAGGACUCUUCUGGGCUUCUUCUGCUGUAACCAGGUGGAACUCCGCUUCCACCUUGCCCUGCAGAGACAGAAGCUUUGGUUCCAGGCCACAGAGAGCCCCCUGGAGCAGGGCCAGCUUUCCAGGACAAGUGCCGUCACGUUAGAGACUGGCAGAAAGUACUUUGACAAACCAGUUGAUUUAUUUUGAGAAAAGCGGUCGUGUUUUUGGUGCUGGGAGAGGACAACUUUAUGAGUAAUAUUAGCACCAGAAUGAUGUGGAGUUUUGUGGAAGGAGCGGGCCCUCCUGUGCAGGGGAGCACACACGCGGUCACCUGUAGGAUUCACUGGUGAUCAUCUAGCAGGAAGAAACAAUACUAACGACAGACAGGUAACAGUAAUCAGAAAGGGGACUGUGAUUGCGUGGUGGACCCUUCUGUACCUGCUACUCUCUUGUCUGUCAAUUCUCAAGAGGAACUUGGUGGGCGUGGCCCUACAUUUGCAAAUGGCUUUUGUCAUCACUCUUUUUGCUGUCCCCACCAACUGCUUCAGAGCCAUCCUUUCCCUCCAGCCCCUCUCUUCUCCUGCCCCUCUGUAAGAAGCAGCUCCCCUGCUUUGAAAGUGGUGAGCAGUGUGCUCCUUUGGAACCUAAGCCAAAGUUGACGACAAUGUACAUCAGACAUCAUCAAAAGAUGAGACAGGACACCAGCAAAGGUCAAGCCAUUCUGUCUUGUUCCUUCAUGCCUUUUGGGGACCCCCAUAUGCCAAGUACUCUUCUAGGACUGGGGACUUAACAGUGAUCAAGAAAAUUAAAAUCCUGAAGUGUCUGCUCUUGGUGGA